AGGCGGUCUUUCAAGUCAGGAGUGAAAGGCUACGGCUCAACCGUAGUAAGCUCUUGAAACUGGGAGACUGGAGUGCAGGAGAGGAGAGUGGAAUUCCUAGUGUAGCGGUGAAAUGCGUAGAUAUUAGGAGGAACACCAGUUGCGAAGGCGGCUCUCUGGACUGUAACUGACGCUGAGGCACGAAAGCGUGGGGAGCAAACAGGAUUAGAUACCCUGGUAGUCCACGCUGUAAACGAUGAGUACUAGGUGUCGGGGGUUACCCCC
rnacentral:rRNA from 1 species